GUUCCCCUAGUUGAAUGACAACAGUGGCUUUUCUCGUCAUUAGUCCCGGUUAGAGUCCGGGUGGGAAUU
rnacentral:tRNA from 1 species